rnacentral:rRNA from 1 species
UGCAGUCGAGCGGAGAUGAGGUGCUUGCACCUUAUCUUAGCGGCGGACGGGUGAGUAAUGCUUAGGAAUCUGCCUAUUAGUGGGGGACAACAUUCCGAAAGGAAUGCUAAUACCGCAUACGUCCUACGGGAGAAAGCAGGGGAUCUUCGGACCUUGCGCUAAUAGAUGAGCCUAAGUCGGAUUAGCUAGUUGGUGGGGUAAAGGCCUACCAAGGCGACGAUCUGUAGCGGGUCUGAGAGGAUGAUCCGCCACACUGGGACUGAGACACGGCCCAGACUCCUACGGGAGGCAGCAGUGGGGAAUAUUGGACAAUGGGGGGAACCCUGAUCCAGCCAUGCCGCGUGUGUGAAGAAGGCCUUAUGGUUGUAAAGCACUUUAAGCGAGGAGGAGGCUACUGAGACUAAUACUCAUGGAUAGUGGACGUUACUCGCAGAAUAAGCACCGGCUAACUCUGUGCCAGCAGCCGCGGUAAUACAGAGGGUGCGAGCGUUAAUCGGAUUUACUGGGCGUAAAGCGUGCGUAGGCGGCUUUUUAAGUCGGAUGUGAAAUCCCCGAGCUUAACUUGGGAAUUGCAUUCGAUACUGGGAAGCUAGAGUAUGGGAGAGGAUGGUAGAAUUCCAGGUGUAGCGGUGAAAUGCGUAGAGAUCUGGAGGAAUACCGAUGGCGAAGGCAGCCAUCUGGCCUAAUACUGACGCUGAGGUACGAAAGCAUGGGGAGCAAACAGGAUUAGAUACCCUGGUAGUCCAUGCCGUAAACGAUGUCUACUAGCCGUUGGGGCCUUUGAGGCUUUAGUGGCGCAGCUAACGCGAUAAGUAGACCGCCUGGGGAGUACGGUCGCAAGACUAAAACUCAAAUGAAUUGACGGGGGCCCGCACAAGCGGUGGAGCAUGUGGUUUAAUUCGAUGCAACGCGAGGAACCUUACCUGGCCUUGACAUACUAGAAACUUUCCAGA